rnacentral:rRNA from 1 species
GAUGAACGCUGGCGGCGUGCCUAAUACAUGCAAGUCGAGCGAACGGACGAGAAGCUUGCUUCUCUGAUGUUAGCGGCGGACGGGAGAGUAACACGUGGAUAACCUACCUAUAAGACUGGGAUAACUUCGGGAAACCGGAGCUAAUACCGGAUAAUAUUUUGAACCGCAUGGUUCAACAGUGAAAGACGGUCUUGCUGUCACUUAUAGAUGGAUCCGCGCUGCAUUAGCUAGUUGGUAAGGUAACGGCUUACCAAGGCAACGAUGCAUAGCCGACCUGAGAGGGUGAUCGGCCACGCUGGAUCAUAGACACGGUCCAGAUUCCUACGGGAUGCCGCAGUAGGGAAUCCUCCGCUCUGCGCGAAAGCCUGACGGGACAACGCCGCGGGAGUGAUGAAGGUCUUCGGAUCGUAAAACUCUGUUAUUAGGGAAGAACAUAUGCGUAAGUAACUGUGCACAUCUUGACGGUACCUAAUUAGAAGGCCACGGCUAACUCCGUG